UAUUAUACUUUAAGUUUUAGGGUACAUGUGCACAAUGUGCAGGUUAGUUACAUAUGUAUACAUGUGCCAUGCUGGUGUGCUGCACCCAUUAACUCGUCAAUUAGCAUUAGCAUUAGGUAUAUCUCCUAAUGCUAUCCCUCCCUCCUCCCCCCACCCCACAACAGUCCCCAGAGUGUGAUGUUCCCCUUCCUGUGUCCAUGUGUUCUCAUUGUUCAGUUCCCACCUAUGAGUGAGAAUAUGCGGUGUUUGGUUUUUUGUCCUUGCGAUAGUUUACUGAGAAUGAUGAUUUCCAAUUUCAUCCAUGUCCCUACAAAGGACAUGAACUCAUCCUUUUUUAUGGCUGCAUAGUAUUCCAUGGUGUAUAUGUGCCACAUUUUCUUAAUCCAGUCUAUCAUUGUUGGACAUUUGGGUUGGUUCCAAGUCUUUGCUAUUGUGAAUAGUGCCGCAAUAAACAUACGUGUGCAUGUGUCUUUAUAGCAGCAUGAUUUAUAGUCCUUUGGGUAUAUACCCAGUAAUGGGAUGGCUGGGUCAAAUGGUAUUUCUAGUUCUAGAUCCCUGAGGAAUCGCCACACUGACUUCCACAAUGGUUGAACUAGUUGACAGUCCCACCAACAGUGUAAAAGUGUUCCUAUUUCUCCACAUCCUCUCCAGCACCUGUUGUUUCCUGACUUUUUAAUGAUCGCCAUUCUAACUGGUGUGAGAUGGUAUCUCAUUGUGGUUUUGAUUUGCAUUUCUCUGAUGGCCAGGGAUGGUGCGCAUUUUUUCAUGUGUUUUUUGGCUGCAUAAAUGUCUUCUUUUGAGAAGUGUCUGUUCAUGUCCUUUGCCCACUUUUUGAUGGGGUUGUUUGUAUUU
rnacentral:lncRNA from 1 species